AGACAAGUGUGAUUCUACUUCCGGCUGCAGUCAGACAGUUUGUGAUACAGGAUGGUCUGGUCCGACAUGUCAGAAACAUAAUGUUGCGAGGACGAAAGUAACAUCAUCCAGUGGAGAGGGUCCCUGGCCGUCAUCCAUAGCUACAGACGGAAGCACUGCUGCACACUCGUAUUCUGUCUGUAUAGAGACAGCGCCCAGCAACCCCAACUGGUGGCGUGUGGAUCUCAAUGACACAGUGCUGAUACGUGAGGUCACCAUCUACUUCAGAACUGACUACAAACCAAGAAGGAAUGGUAUCCAGGUGUACGUGACCAACUCCACUGAUGCCCCCAGGGGUCACAACUGCUACAACGUGAUAGGAGGAAGUGAUGGAAGUGGCAUUGCUGACGUCACACGGGCACCUUGCUCUAGCACGGGGCGCUACAUUUUACUUUACACAACAGUGCACAAUGAUUGGGACAGUCUGCCUGUACUUGACUUUUGUGAGGUAGAAG